rnacentral:rRNA from 1 species
UACGUAGGGUGCGAGCGUUGCCCGGAUUUAUUGGGCGUAAAGGGCGCGUAGGCGGUCACGCACGUCCGUUGUGAAAUCGCUCGGCUCAACUGGGCGGGGUCAGCGGAUACGGCGUGGCUGGAGCAAGCUAGGGGGCAAUGGAAUUCCCGGUGUAGUGGUGGAAUGCGUAGAUAUCGGGAGGAACACCAGUGGCGAAGGCGACUACCUGGCCUGUUUCUUGACGCUGAGGCGCGAAAGCUAGGGGAGCAAACGGG